rnacentral:rRNA from 1 species
AGUGAACGCUGGCGGUAGGCCUAACACAUGCAAGUCGAGCGGCAGCACAGUAAGAGCUUGCUCUUACUGGUGGCGAGUGGCGGACGGGUGAGGAAUACAUCGGAAUCUACUUUUUCGUGGGGGAUAACGUAGGGAAACUUACGCUAAUACCGCAUACGACCUACGGGUGAAAGCAGGGGAUCUUCGGACCUUGCGCGAUUGAAUGAGCCGAUGUCGGAUUAGCUAGUUGGCGGGGUAAAGGCCCACCAAGGCGACGAUCCGUAGCUGGUCUGAGAGGAUGAUCAGCCACACUGGAACUGAGACACGGUCCAGACUCCUACGGGAGGCAGCAGUGGGGAAUAUUGGACAAUGGGCGCAAGCCUGAUCCAGCCAUACCGCGUGGGUGAAGAAGGCCUUCGGGUUGUAAAGCCCUUUUGUUGGGAAAGAAAAGCAGCAGGUUAAUACCCCGCUGUUCUGACGGUACCCAAAGAAUAAGCACCGGCUAACUUCGUG